CUGGCGGCGNGCUUAACACAUGCAAGUCGAACGCGAAAGGGACUUCGGUCCUGAGUAAAGUGGCGCACGGGUGAGUAACGCGUGGAUAAUCUGCCCUUAUGAUCGGGAUAACAGUUGGAAACGGCUGCUAAUACCGGAUACGCUCAAAAUGAACUUUUUGAGGAAAGAUGGCCUCUGCUUGCAUGCUAUCACGUAAGGAUGAGUCCGCGUCCCAUUAGCUUGUUGGCGGGGUAACGGCCCACCAAGGCAUCGAUGGGUAGCCGAUUUGAGAGGAUGAUCGGCCACACUGGAACUGAAACACGGUCCAGACUCCUACGGGAGGCAGCAGUGGGGAAUAUUGCGCAAUGGGCGAAAGCCUGACGCAGCGACGCCGCGUGAGGGAUGAAGGUUUUCGGAUCGUAAACCUCUGUCAGAAGGGAAGAAACUACGUUGUGCUAAUCAGCAGCGUACUGACGGUACCUUCAAAGGAAGCACCGGCUAACUCCGUGCCAGCAGCC
rnacentral:rRNA from 1 species